rnacentral:rRNA from 1 species
UGGGGAAUAUUGCACAAUGGGCGCAAGCCUGAUGCAGUCAUGCCGCGUGUGUGAAGAAGGCCUUCGGGUUGUAAAGCACUUUCAGCGAGGAGGAAGGGUUCAGUGUUAAUAGCACUGUUCAUUGACGUUACUCGCAGAAGAAGCACCGGCUAACUCCGUGCCAGCAGCCGCGGUAAUACGGAGGGUGCAAGCGUUAAUCGGAAUUACUGGGCGUAAAAGCGCACGCAGGCGGUUUGUUAAGUCAGAUGUGAAAUCCCCGCGCUUAACGUGGGAACUGCAUUUGAAACUGGCAAGCUAGAGUCUUGUAGAGGGGGGUAGAAAUUCCAGGUGUAGCGGUGAAAUGCGUAGAGAUCUGGAGGAAUACCGGUGGCGAAGGCGGCCCCCUGGACAAAAGGCUGACGCUCAGGUGCGAAAGCGUGGGGAGCAAAACAGGAUUAGAUACCCUGGUAGUCCACGCUGUAAAACGAUGUCGACUUGGAGGUUGUGCCCUUGAGGCGUGGCUUCCGGAGCUAAACGCGUUAAAGUCGACCGCCUGGGGAGUACGGCCGCAAGGUUAAAAAC